AGCACAUCCAUUAUAUACUGACCAUCUAACUAACUACCUGCUUGAUCGGUCUAAAAACUUCCAGUUUAUCUAUAUUCCAGUUUAUCUAUAUUAUACACGAAAGUGUCCUGAGAUAUUUUCCAACAUAUUCCGUCAUAUAUGCUCCAUUUGAAGUUUGAACUUCACGGUACAUACGGUGCCCGCUCUUUUAGGUCUCGUGAUACGCAAGGCGAGGGACAUGCUUGUUUAGGUCCUUCUCUCCCUCUCUCUCUCUCUCUCUCGUGCGCACAUACACAUAUAAGCGGUACGUUAAUAUCAGAAAACCUUGUAAUAAAGAGAGUACGAUUUAGUUUAGUUCCCAGAUUCAAAUAUUACAAAAACGCUAGCUAUGGGCCUUGCAAAGUGGCAGACAUGCACCGUUCAACACCCAAUCAAGCCAUAUCCUACCACCCUUCUGGAGUCCAAGUGCACCCGAGGACUUUCCUUGCAAAAAUGCUUCGCAUAUGCAUUUAAUAUGAGAAAUACCUCACUUAGGACACAAAAUGACAGCAAAGCCCAUUGCCAUCAGUUAACCCUUACUGGAUUAGCCUUUUAUAAAUUAAAAUUUUAUAUUUUGGUAAUGUUAUAUGCUACAAAAAGCCUUCGUACGAGUUUCCACGUCCUCUCAGAGCUUCCCGGUUGCAUGCUGUUAGAUAGAGUUCGGAUCCUUGCAGGUCCAUUCAGGAACUAGAAAGAUCCAGUCCCAGUCAUAGAUCCCAGCCAACUUCAAUUUUACUCUUUCCAUCCUCUUAACGGAUCUUAUCUCAAAUCUACCUACUCCAGAUUGGCUGAUUGUUCUCUAUUUAAUGUCGACCCUGAAAGUGCUCCCUCUUGAAAAGCUGGUAUCCUGACCAAUCAAUUGAAUAAAUAGUCAAAAAAAAAUCAGGUUGCCACAGUUUAGGUAUUGCAGUUGAAGUUUGGAUCCUGUAUCAGGAUACAGUUUGCUCCCAUAGAUGAUUCUUUGCAUAAUUUUAUGAUGCCAUCCUGCAAUAAAUUCAGAUCAGUAAAGUCCACGAGAAACUUCACUCACAAACUUCAUCAAAAGAACAUUAUAGGCACAUGCUCUAUGGUUAUAGAUUUGGAAAUGGUACAAUAUCUAAUCCCACUAACCCUCUUGAUUAGCCCAACUAAUUUAUGUGCAAGUCAUAUAAUGGAAAACUCUCUCUCUCUCUCUCUCUCAUCUAGUGCAUCACACUACUAUCCACUUCCCAAAGUAAUUGACAAAGCCAAUAUAGAAAUUCUAAUGCAGCCAGUUGACGGUUUUACAGCAGGCAAACGGUCUCCAAAAUGGUUUGCUUAGCUUUUCUAAACUAUUUAGCCAACAGAUCUUACAUUCAACAAACUAAAGUUAGAUAAAGGAUGCUGUUCAUGAUUAUUUAUUACUUGUCUACGUCAUUGAAUGUACAGGAGUUGAUUUAAGCUGAAGAUAAUCAUUCUAACAUACAGAAUACGUAUGAUUAAGGAAUAAUGACCUUUAAUUUACGUACCAACCACAGAAAUAUGUACUAGACUACCAGUCAUUUCCAGAACUAAAAACACCUCAUGUGUAGAAUUCCAAGCACAAUUCCAAUGUUGUAAAACCAUUCUAUGAGCUUCAGCAACAUCUAUGCAUAUGAUUUGGCAUAUCUGCUCAGCUUUAUCUUAGAGUCAUGAAACAAUUACAUAUUCUUUGUGGUGAUAUGCAGUCCAUCUUAUCACGAAACAUGACCAACCUUGUAUCUCUUGGAACCUUACUGCUGUGUAUUACACCAAAAUUUAUUAUAUGCAGGGUAGCAAUCAAUAUUGCUUGGAAUUUAAAUUCUUAACAAAUCCAAAAACUUGGCUCUCCCAGUAAUAUAGUUUAUACUGGCGAAAAAUAUCUUUUUUACAUACUGACAGGGAGAUAUACUUGGUUAAUAGAUUAUGAAUAGAUAGAUAUGA
rnacentral:lncRNA from 1 species